rnacentral:rRNA from 1 species
UACGGAGGGUGCAAGCGUUAUCCGGAUUCACUGGGUUUAAAGGGUGCGUAGGCGGGCAGGUAAGUCCGUGGUGAAAUCUCUGAGCUUAACUCAGAAACUGCCAUGGAUACUAUUUGUCUUGAAUAUUGUGGAGGUCAGCGGAAUAUGUCAUGUAGCGGUGAAAUGCUUAGAUAUCGGAAGGAACAUCAGUGGCGAAAGCGACUUCCUGGACCAAUACUGACGCUCAUGUGCGAAAGCGUGGGGAGCAAACAGG